GCAAAGAGCAAAACCUUGUCCCUGAGCAAUUCGAAUGAAAAUUAUCUCUACCGAAUCGUCGUGAAUUAGCCACCAUUCUUGACUUGCAAUCAACCCCUUGAGAAUUAGGAGAUAAUGGCAUGGCGGCCAUGUUGGUGCCAAAUUCAAAAGAAGUUAAUGAGAUUCUUUUUUUGAAAUGGGACUCUGCCGUCGCCCACAUCAUUGCAAGUCAAGAAUUGAGCAUCAAUGAUGAAUGAUCACAUAGCUAGGUCCUGUGGUAAAACCUCGUUGCACGG